UACGUAGGGGGCUAGCGUUGUCCGGAUUUAUUGGGCGUAAAGAGCGUGUAGGCGGCCAUGUAGGUCCGGUGUGAAAACUCGAGGCUUAACCUCGAGAUGUCAUCGGAAACCAUUUGGCUAGAGUCCGGAAGAGGAGAGUGGAAUUCCUGGUGUAGCGGUGAAAUGCGCAGAUAUCAGGAGGAACACCAAUGGCGAAGGCAGGUCUCUGGGCCACAACUGACGCUGAGGAGCGAAAGCGUGGGGAGCGAACAGG
rnacentral:rRNA from 1 species